rnacentral:rRNA from 1 species
GACGAACGCCGGCGGCGUGCUUAACACAUGCAAGUCGAACGGAAAGGCCCUGCUUUUGUGGGGUGCUCGAGUGGCGAACGGGUGUGUAACACGUGAGUAACCUGCCCUUGUCUUUGGGAUAACUUCUGGAAACUGGGGCUAAUACCGGAUAGGAGCUCCUGCUGCAUGGUGGGGGUUGGAAAGUUUCGGCGGUUGGGGAUGGACUCGCGGCUUAUCAGCUUGUUGGUGGGGUAGUGGCUUACCAAGGCUUUGACGGGUAGCCGGCCUGAGAGGGUGACCGGCCACAUUGGGACUGAGAGACGGCCCAGACUCCUACGGGAGGCAGCAGGGGGGAAUAUUGCACAAUGGGCGGAAGCCUGAUGCAGCAACGCCGCGUGCGGGAUGACGGCCUUCGGGUUGUAAACCGCUUUCGCCUGUGACGAAGCGUGAGUGACGGUAAUGGGUAAAGAAGCACCGGCUAACUACGUG